CCCUUAGAUGUUCUGGGCCGCACGCGUGCUACACUGAGUGGAUCAGCGGGUCAGGUUGCGCGAAAGCGUUUCCUAAUCUUUAAAUCCGCUCGUGAUGGGGAUUGACGGUUGCAAUUUUCUGUCAUGAACGAGGAAUACCUUGUAAGCGCGGGUCAUCAUCCCGCGCUGAAUACGUCCCUGCCCUUUGUACACACCGCCCGUCGCUCCUACCGAUUGAAUGAUCCGAUGAAUACCGUGGAUUGAGUGUUCGAAUGGGUUCUCUCAUUUCAGCAUCUCUGAGAAGCGGAGUAAAUCUUAUCAUUUAGAGGAAGGAGAAGUCGUAACA
rnacentral:rRNA from 1 species